GGUGCUGUGGCUUAGUUGGUUAAAGCGCCUGUCUAGUAAACAGGAGAUCCUGGGUUAAAAUCCCAGCAGCACCU
rnacentral:tRNA from 1 species